AGUGAACGCUGGCGGCAGGCCUAACACAUGCAAGUCGAGCGGCAGCGCGUCCGACCACCCUCGGGUGGUCGGAUGGCGGCGAGCGGCGGACGGGUGAGGAAUGCAUCGGAAUCUGCCUCGUUGUGGGGGAUAACGUAGGGAAACUUACGCUAAUACCGCAUACGACCUACGGGUGAAAGUGGGGGACCUUCGGGCCUCACGCGAUGAGAUGAGCCGAUGCCGGAUUAGCUAGUUGGUGAGGUAAUGGCUCACCAAGGCAACGAUCGGUAGGGGGUCUGAGAGGAUGAUCCCCCACACUGGUACUGAGACACGGACCAGACUCCUACGGGAGGCAGCAGUAAGGAAUAUUGGACAAUGGGCGCAAGCCUGAUCCAGCCAUGCCGCGUGAGUGAAGAAGG
rnacentral:rRNA from 1 species